GUGUGCACACAUACACAAGACAGAAAAGAUUAGCCUGGUGCCUGCGAAAGGACAACACAGAAAUUCACAAAUUGUUCCAUAUUUUA
rnacentral:snRNA from 1 species